rnacentral:lncRNA from 1 species
CUUAUUUGCAUCGGUCCCCUACGUAGAGGAUGCGUAGGCCGGAGCUGACUGCUGAGAUAAACUACUGAGGACUUAUACGGAAAUGAUGAUUAAGGCCAUGGUAUGUGGGGUUUCGGGAGUGAUUCCUAUAUUUACGAAGUCUAUGGUGCUAAAAUAAUACUGAUGUUUCGCAAAGUUCUCCCAAGUCACCGCAUCCUUACUCAAAACAUGUCUUUAAAACCUGAAAACUUUCGGAAUAACACUAUUUUCUUUUGCAAUUUUUUUUCUGGUGGGGCUAAAGGUAUGGGGAGGUAGGAUUGUACUAAAGAU